rnacentral:rRNA from 1 species
UACGAAGGGGCUAGCGUUGCUCGGAAUGACUGGGCGUAAAGGGCGCGUAGGCGGCUCAUACAGUCAGAUGUGAAAUUCCUGGGCUUAACCUGGGGGCUGCAUUUGAUACGUGUGGGCUUAGUGGGGAAGAGGGUCGUGGAAUUCCCAGUGUAGAGGUGAAAUUCGUAGAUAUUGGGAAGAACACCGGUGGCGAAGGCGGCGACCUGGUCCUUGACUGACGCUGAGGCGCGAAAGCGUGGGGAGCAAACAGG